GAUGAACGCUGGCGGCGUGCCUAAUACAUGCAAGUCGAGCGAACGGACGAGAAGCUUGCUUCUCUGAUGUUAGCGGCGGACGGGUGAGUAACACGUGGAUAACCUACCUAUAAGACUGGGAUAACUUCGGGAAACCGGAGCUAAUACCGGAUAAUAUUUUGAACCGCAUGGUUCAAAAGUGAAAGACGGUCUUGCUGUCACUUAUAGAUGGAUCCGCGCUGCAUUAGCUAGUUGGUAAGGUAACGGCUUACCAAGGCAACGAUGCAUAGCCGACCUGAGAGGGUGAUCAGCCACACUGGAACUGAGACACGGUCCAGACUCCUACGGGAGGCAGCAGUAGGGAAUCUUCCGCAAUGGGCGAAAGCCUGACGGAGCAACGCCGCGUGAGUGAUGAAGGUCUUCGGAUCGUAAAACUCUGUUAUUAGGGAAGAACAUAUGUGUAAGUAACUGUGCACAUCUUGACGGUACCUAAUCAGAAAGCCACGGCUAACUACGUGCCAGCAGCCGCGGUAAUACGUAGGUGGCAAGCGUUAUCCGGAAUUAUUGGGCGUAAAGCGCGCGUAGGCGGUUUUUUAAGUCUGAUGUGAAAGCCCACGGCUCAACCGUGGAGGGUCAUUGGAAACUGGAAAACUUGAGUGCAGAAGAGGAAAGUGGAAUUCCAUGUGUAGCGGUGAAAUGCGCAGAGAUAUGGAGGAACACCAGUGGCGAAGGCGACUUUCUGGUCUGUAACUGACGCUGAUGUGCGAAAGCGUGGGGAUCAAACAGGAUUAGAUACCCUGGUAGUCCACGCCGUAAACGAUGAGUGCUAAGUGUUAGGGGGUUUCCGCCCCUUAGUGCUGCAGCUAACGCAUUAAGCACUCCGCCUGGGGAGUACGACCGCAAGGUUGAAACUCAAAGGAAUUGACGGGGACCCGCACAAGCGGUGGAGCAUGUGGUUUAAUUCGAAGCAACGCGAAGAGCCUUACCAAAUCUUGACAUCCUUUGACAACUCUAGAGAUAGAGCUUUCCCCUUCGGGGGACAAAGUGACAGGUGGUGCGUGGUUGUCGUCAGCUCGUGUCGUGAGAUGUUGGGUUAAGUCCCGCAACGAGCGCAACCCUUAAGCUUAGUUGCCAUCAUUAAGUUGGGCACUCUAAGUUGACUGCCGGUGACAAACCGGAGGGAGGUGGGGAUGACGUCAAAUCAUCAUGCCCCUUAUGAUUUGGGCUACACACGUGCUACAAUGGACAAUACAAAGGGCAGCGAAACCGUGAGGUCAAGCAAAUCCCAUAAAGUUGUUCUCAGUUCGGAUUGUAGUCUGCAACUCGACUACAUGAAGCUGGAAUCGCUAGUAAUCGUAGAUCAGCAUGCUACGGUGAAUACGUUCCCGGGUCU
rnacentral:rRNA from 1 species